rnacentral:misc_RNA from 1 species
GAGUGAGGGCGCAAGCCCGACCUCCAACCCUUUGUCACCCGACUCUGUUGCCUCGGGGGCGACCCGGCCUUCGGGCGUCGGGGCCCCCGGCGGGCACGUAACCCUGCAUCUUUGCGUCCGAGUAAACAUUUGAAUCAAUCAAAACUUUUAACAACGGAUCUCUUGGUUCU